AAAUGUACUGCGACUCACUAAAAAUGAGAUGCAGAUUUUCGUCCCUUCGGACUUCAUUUAAAUUCGGAUAGAUGGGAUAGCUCUAGAAGCACGUAAAGGAGAUCAACUACACACAGACAAUUUAACGAAUUUCUCAUUCACUAGUUCGAGUUCUGCUUAUUCAUAAGAUGAAAACCUAAAUUGAAAUCUCAACGUUACAUGAUUGAUCAACCAAGCAUACUAUGUAGAAGAGUUCAUUUGACAAGUUCAUGCAACUAGUAUUCAAAAAUAUGUUAUCUCAUUCUGCCAUCCACGAGCUCCUCAAUCUCUUCUGUUUGUAAUCCAUAAAUAUUACUCCGUAUAAUCUGGUGGAGGCCAUUGGCCAAGAAGCACUUUGAUAAGUUGAUAAAAUACAGUUUUAAGUUCCAAAUAAUCCAGCUAACCCCCUCCUGCACGGCCAAAAUAAAGAAACCGGAGCAGACAGGGGAAAAGAAAUCUAUCGACUAUAGCAUUUGGAUAUCAAGACAAACUUUUAUUUUGGUAAAAGGGGAAAAUUUUACUUGUAUAUCACAAGAUAACAUGAAGAGAGUAUGAUACAUCUAGAAGGACUAGAUGAAGCUCAAACCAGUGCAUAUUAAUCAGUCUAGUAUUAUCGCUUUAUCAAACUAGUCUAUAUUAACUCGGAGUUCUUGUUUCUUUGGAUUAGACGAAGACCACAGAUUCAUUUUCUUAGUGGCUGCCAAUACUAAUUUUCUACAACCAAAGACGAAACAAGAUCAUUAAAGAAGAUUAUGUUCUCUAAAUUUAACAAUUGUCUAGCAAAAUUUCGGAUUCUUGAAAAUAUUAAUUCUUCAUGAUAACACUAAGAUGAUUCUUUGACUACAAAAGUAGUGAAUUAAUGCCCAUCCCACGAAAAAUUAGCCUAUAUUCCAUCUUCUAUAAGCAACCAGCAAGUUGGCAUUUAUCUUCUCAAAGACUUGGAAAAACUCUCUUCCUAUACUGUUCCAAUAUCCUAAAACAAAUGAUAUGACACAGUUGCGGUAUAUAAAUUCUGAAAACGUAGACUUCCGGGAAGGGUAUGGUACACGUGAACUCAUGGUCUUCUUGUCAAACUAGGCAUUUUAUGUAUAUAUUUCCUAGAGUUGAUAUAAUAUUAUCUGCUGGCUUCCAUGCUCCAAAAAGGCUGAAUGAUACACUUGGUCGAAUAUUGAGUUAUUUACCUAGAGGAAUAAGGAUUGAUUCCUGCUUAAUACUUUUUUUUCCUCUCUUUUUAGUGGUGCACUCAUUCUAGAAAUCCUAGAUCUGCCAGAAAGGGCAUACAAUGCAUUCAGAAGGGCAAAGUACACCGGGAAAAAGCAAAUCUCAAGGUUCUGAAAGAAUAUAAAACUCAAUCGUGAUAACGGAUCAUACCUUUCAUAAGAUAAAAGAUGAUUCUAUCAUGCCGAAAGAUGCAAAAUAGAUUGAUUCUUGUCUCUUCAUCACCACAUCUGGAAGAGAAUAAAAAGCUUUUUGAUGAUUUGAUAUACAAAGAAUAGUAAGUAGAUAAACUAAGCUAGAUACGCGUAUUACUUCUCUUAGAUUUCCCACUUCGAUAGAUACUUGUAUGGGUUAAAUUUCAUGAUAGUCAUCCAACUUUCAUUUUAUUGCACUAAAGUUAUAGACUCAUUUUUCAAAUGAAAAAGUAACUCGAUUGUGUCUAUAUAUAUCACAAAAGAAAUUAUAAAACAAAAGCCGAAAAUGCUAAAUUCGAUCUAGGAAACACAAGUAGGUUGGCCACUUUAGCAGCUCACCUUACAUAAUAUCCAUGUGACACCAAUUACAAAAAUAAAAAGAAUUGAGUAUUAGGUUGCGUUAGAAAAUGAGUUCAUGUGAAUAUUAUGUACGGUGAGUUGCUGAAAUAGCUAUACUUACAUGGCUAUUUUGUAAAUACAGCAGCCUACAUGUGUUUUCCGGGGCUAAAUUUUGCAUUUCCCGAUAUUAUAUUUUAUAAUAUAUAAGCACAAUUGAGUUACUUUUUCGUUACAAAAAAUCAGUUUAAUAACUUUAAUGGAAUAAGCUGAAAGUUGGAUGCCGUGAAACUACCCCAUAUUUAUAUGCCUCCUACAUAUAUAUCUUGAUCAAUCCACUCAGUAGUAUUAAAAAACAAGGAACAAACCACUUUCAUAUCUCUUGACAGCCUGCUCUUUCAUAAUGGACAGCAGGAGAUGUAAAUGCAAGUGGUGCGGCACGAAAAUGUCAGCUCCCAUUGGAGCACAAACCAUUUCCUGCCCAAGGUGCCAAUCUGUUACACAACUCCAACCUCCAAGAAACAACAACGGCUUUGCCGCUGGGGUUAUUAACAAUAUUAUGGGUGCAGUAGUUAACACAGGGUUUCCAGCAAGGCUGGGAAGGAUGAAUCCAACAAAUGCCAAUAAUUGUCAGCCUCAACUGUUCAACAUGUCACCACAGAUUACUAUGCAACCUCCAGCGGUUCAUGGACGAAAACGAGCGGUACUCUGUGGAAUAACCUACCGUGGGCAUUCCAAGAGUCUGAAAGGAAGCAUUAACGACGUUUUAUCCAUGAGAUAUCUUCUGGUUCAGAAGUUGGGUUUCCCCAAUGCAUCUGUACUUGUCCUUACAGGUAUCUCCUACAGUUCAAAAGGGACAACUCGGUGCACAAAGCAUCAUGCAUUCACGCAGGGUCAAGGGAAAGGCCGCACCUCCAAGGGUGUGAUGUAGACAGCCUAACCUAAUGCAAGCAUUAGUGGUUGCUUCCACGGCUCGAACCCGUGACCUAUUAAUCAUACGGAGACAACUUUACCGUUGUUCCAAGGCUCCUCUUCAUCUGCUACAGUUCAUGUCUAGAACAUAAAUGCUUAUGUUACUACUCCCUCCACUCCCAUGAUAUUGUUUCCUAUAUUCUUCAUUCUUUCUUUAUCAGAUAUGAUCAGAUUUCUAACAUAUAAUACAUAAAAUGUUGCAGAGGAUGAGAAAGAUCCAUACAAAAUCCCAACCAAGGGCAAUAUCAGAUCAGCCCUACGUUGGCUUGUUCAUGGUUGUCAGCCAGGAGAUUCACUAGUGUUCCACUACUCUGGCCAUGGCACACGAGUAAGAGACCGUGAUGGCGAUGAGGUUGAUGGGAAUGAUGAAUCACUAUGCCCUGUUGAUUUUGAGACUGAAGGAAGAAUACUAGAUGAUGAGAUUAAUAAUACCAUUGUUAGGCCUUUACCCUGUGGAGCCACACUUCAUGGCAUAAUUGAUACUUGCUUCAGUGGAACUUUCCUGGAUUUGCCGUUCAUGUGCAGAAUAAACAGGUUAUUGAAUUCCCCUUUUAAUGCUUUAUGCAACGAAACUUUAUAUUGAGUUAUCGUAAAAGUACUAUGUCUAAAUGUUUUCAAGCAGGGCGGGACACUUCAUGUGGGAAGACCAUCGUAUCAGCACAUACAAAGGUACUAGAGGAGGAACAGCAAUCUCUAUCAGUGCCUGUGAUGAUCAUCAAAAUUCUGGAGAUACAACAGUUAGUAUUCGUAUAUACAAAUAGCACACUUACCGAACCUAGUAGCUUUUUUCAAACCAUGUAUUUGUCCUAAGAAAUACAUUAAAUAUGUACAAAUUAUUAAUUUAGAACCUAGUAACUUAAAAGGAAUAUAAUCCCCAACGCAUAAGGUUCAAAUCCUGGCUCUGCCUCUGUUAACACUAAAUGCUCUAAGCAAAUUAAAGAGACUCCUGCUAAACAACUAAUGUAAGUAUACUAACACGAUUGAGCCGUUAUCAUAACUAGUUUGAAUUGCCUGUAUAGGUCUUUUAUUUCUAUUGUGUUCUGCUAUAUACUAAAACACAAUUAUUUCGAGAGAUUAUAGAUAUGUUCACCUCUAACACCUUCAAUCAUCAAACUGUCGCACCUUGGAUUUCUGCAGGCUUUCACAGGCUUUCCGACAGGUGCCCUGACAUAUAGUUUCAUCAAAACAUUGGAGCAAGAGACCAAAUUGACUUACGGACGCUUACUUAUGAGUAUGCACAAUAAGAUUCAUGAAGCACAGAAAGGAGUAGGCAUGAAUGGUGCAAAUGAAACUCAGGUACGCUUUUAUGAUAUUGUCAAAAAAAAGUCAGUGCAGCAUUGCAUCACCAUCGUCUAAUGCAUUUUAUUGGUCUUGCCCAGGAGCCUCAAUUAUCCGCGUCUGAGCAGUUUGAUAUUCACUCGAAGAUGGUGGCUUUGUAGGAACUUAAAAUAUCCAACUCCAGCAAGAGUACAACUUCCCUGGCAUAAUCUUGUUAUAAUAAAUCUCAGAACUUCUUUUACCAUAUUUGGUUAAGUACUGUGUGACUAAGGCUUCAGUUGCGUAUAGAUUCACUCUUAUACUAAUGUUUGGAAGUGAAUCAUUGUCAUAUAUUUUCCUAUAAACUUUAAUAAUAUUAAAAUAAAGCCCCUAAGAUGUGUUAUUGUCUUGUUAUUUACUGGCCCCUGUCAAAGUGAGCUUUUGGCAGUAGACCUGUAAGCCAAGUUUGAUCAAGUCUGACUCUCAAGCGUAUUAAAUGGCAGUCAGCACACAAUUUUUUGCAGCCUUUCAGAUAAUAUCAAGAGACAUCUCAAGCACAAGCUUUUAACAGAAAGCAGAUUCUUAGAUAAAUGAGAAUAAGUUUGCGAUAAAAUGAUAAGAGCAGCAAAAGAAUCUACGUACAUCAUAGGUUAUGGAUUAGAAGUCAUUUUGAAUCUUGAAACCAGCUUCUCUCAUGAGGAAGUAAGACUGUCUAUAUUCGCCUUUCCCUGAGCCCGCCUGGCACUGAGGUCCUCCGUUAUUCUUUAUCCCCUCCUCUUUUAAAUGAAACACAAAUUUCUUCCUCUCUUAAAGUCAAUAAAAAUAGAUUCUCCUGCACUCUUCCUAGUUUGGUUAGCUUACGAAUCUUUUAUGCAAUUGGCAUUCCUCUUGCAGAUGAGUCUCAUCUAUAUCAAAAACAUUUUUGGCCUUGGAUGGUGCAAUUAUUAUUUUGAAUUGGUAAAGAUUCUGCAACGAAAACUAGUUAAACUCACAAAAGUGUCCAAAUGUAUUGCGACUCAUUAAAAGUGAAAUGCAGAUUUGCGUCCCUUAAGGCUGCAUUCAAAUUCAUACUGACUAUAUAUCAGAUAGUUGGGAUAGCUCUAGCAGCAUGUAAAGGAGAUCAACUACACAUAGACAAUUAAAAGAACUUCUCAUUCACAAGGUCGAAUUGUGCUUAUUCAUAAGACGAAAACCUAAGUUGAAAUCUCAAAGUUACAUGAUUGAUCAACCAAGCAUACUAUGCAGAAAGAAUUCAUUUGACAAGUUCAUGCAACUAGUAUUCAAAAAUAUGUUUGCCAUCCAUGAGCUCCUCAAUCUCUUAUGCUAGUAAUCCAUAAAUAUUACUCUGUAUAAUCUAGUGGAGGCCAUUGGCCGAGAAGCACUUUGAUAAGAUGAUAAAAUCCAGUUUUAAGUUCCAAUUAAUCCAGCUAACCCCUCCUGCAAGGCCAAAAUAAAGAAACCGGAGCAGACAGGGGAAAAGAAAUCUAUCGACUAUAGCAUUUGGACAUCAAGACAAACUUUUGUUUUGUUAAAUAUCGCAAGAUCACAUGAAGAGAGAACGAUACAUCUAGAAGGACUAGAUGAUGCUCAAACUAGUGCACAUUAAUCAAUCCAGAUUAACGAAGACGUAGACCACAUAUUCAUUUUCUUAGUGGCUGCCAAUAUUAAUUUUCUACAACCAAGGACGAAACAAGAUCAUUAAAGAAGAUUAUUUUCUCUUAAUGUAACAAUUCCUCAGGCAACGUGAUAUACAUAAAUUGUCUAGCGAAAUUCGGAUUCUCGAAAAUAUUAAUUCUUCGUGAUAACACUAAGAUGAUUCUUUGACUACAGAAGUAGUGAAUUAAUGCCCAUCCCACGAAAAAUUAGCAUAUAUUCCAUUCUUUACAUGCAACCAGCAAGCUGGCAUUCUAUGUUGUUCCAAUAUCCUAAAAAGAAAGAUACAACACGGUUGAGGUAUACUCCCUCCAUUUCAAUUUGUUUGAAUCUUUUUGGAGUACAAGGGGCCAAAUUGACUAAUUUUCUAUAUGAAUUGGGCUGUAGAUUCUUUAAGUUUUUGAAAUAAAAUUUACGUAUCUAGAAAUUACAUAAAAGGUACUAAAAGUCAUAGAAACUUUAUUUUGUUCUGAAUUUCUAUUCUAGUAGGACUCUCUUUCUUGAACAAAGGGAAAAAGAGGAUUAAAUAUCCUUCAUAUGCCUUAUCCUUUUUUUGAAAAGAAGUCUUACACUUUUAUAAAUUGAGGAUUUCUGAUUCUCAAAACAAUAACAAUAAUAGCAUCCAAAAUGUAGUUAUAAAGAGUCUUGUUUAGGGUAGAUUUUUUUCUCAAAUCUCAAGGUUCUGAAAGAAUAUAAAACUCAAUCAUGAUAAAGGAUCAUACCUUUCAGAAUAUAAAAGAUAGAAUCUACUAUGCCGAAAGACGCAAAAUAGAUUGAUUCUUGUUUCUCCAUCACCACAUCUGGAAGAGAAUAAAAAGCUUUAUACAAAGAAUAAUAAGGAGAUAAACUAAUGAGUAAAGUCGUAGAUUAGUUCUCUUGGAAGUGCUUAAUUAGAGUGCGUUUGGCCAAGCCGCCAAAAUAUGCUUAUUUUGAAAUUGUACUUUUUUCGGGAAAUAUUUUUUCAAAAGUACUUUUGGAAAAAAAUAGUUUGUGUUUGGCUAAUUCAAUUAAGAAGUACUUUUUACAAUAUUUGAUAAAUAAAUUAUAUUUGGCCAAUCUUUUUAAAAGUAUUUUUGAGUGUCAAAUUACCAAAAAGAAUAGUACCAAUGUUUUAUAAUUCUUUUAAAGAGAAAAAUAAACUCAAAUAUUAUAAUAAGAUACUUUUAUUAUUUUUUAUUUUAUUUAAUUAAAUUAUAAAACAUAAAGUAAACAAACAUAUUAAAGAUUUAAAUCAAUUUUACAUAUAUAGUUAUACCAAAGCAUAUAUUAUUAUCUAGUAUAAUUAAUUAUUGUUACAUGAUGAUUUGAAUAAUCAAAAUACACCAUUUAGUAUGAAUUAGAAGUCUAUUCCAUAAAUUACUAUAUAUUGAUAAUCUAGUAUGAAAUAAUAAGUAAAGUCACACACACAUAAUAAUAUUUCUCAAUAAUUUCAUCUCUACGUCUAUCACACAACGCCUCCAUAUUAGUAGAAGACUUCCCUUGUAUUUCUAAAGGAAUAUCGGAAGGCCCAACUCCGUCCUCAAUCUCUGCAGUAAUGUCUUCCAUUAGUAUAAUAAUUGAAUUCCUUAUCCGUAAAAGAAUGUCGUCGGAUAAAAUUAUGUAUAGCCAUGAUAAUUGUAAUUAGAUGAUUCUGAGUGUCAAAUUUGAAAGAUGGCAUUGAGCGUAAAAUAGAAAUAAUUUUAAAUAUAUAAAAAUAAAGUUUUUUGUAAAAAAAAAAUAGUUUAAGUAUGUUUAAAUUCAAAUCAAAAAGAGUAACUAAUUAUUAACAACACAUAAUGUAUAAUUUAAUUUUUUUAAAAAAUUUAAAUUAAGAAAAAAACUAAUUAGUAUUACCUAACCUUACUAACUUUGUCCUAAAUUGCCAAGUGGCCUAUUGUCAGGCUGCCACUUGGCUUAAUGUGUGUUGCGUUUUAUUCUUCUUUUAAUAAUAUAUAAAUAGAUUAUAUGAUGCAAUUGUGAAUUUAUUACCUAUUUGUAUGGUAAUUUUCACAAAUUAGAUUUGAUAAUUGUUUUAAAGAUUCGGGAACUAAUAACAUAUAACAAAAGAAAUUAUAAAUGAUUAUUUGUAGGAAGAGAAUUGAUAAUCCAAAUAAAGAUGUAGAUAAUUUGCUUUAGUGUGAAAAAAUAAGAAGAUAAUUUGGAAAGUUACAAGACAUUACACCAAAAAAAAUUCAAAAACAAGAAAAGCCAAUAAAGAAUUUAGAAAGUUACAAUAUGAUUCAUGUAUAUGAUAUCUUUAAUUUUAAAAAAAUGAUAAAAACUAGAAACAAAAAUGAAAAGAAAAAACUUAAAUUAGUAAGGGAUAAUUUUGAAAAUAUAAAUUUAUGGUGAGGGUAGUUUUGUCUUGAAUAAAUUAAUUUUCCACUUGUGCUUCUUGGAAGAAGCUAGAAUUUUCUGCUUCUUCCCAAAAGCGGAAAAAUUGCUUCUGCUGCUGGCCAAAAGUACUUCUCUGUAUUUGUCAAACAGCUUAAAUUUUUAAAAAAUAUUUUUUUGGAGGAAAAAAGUACUUUUGGCCUCCCAAAAGCCUGGCCAAACAGGCUCUUAUUAUAGGUUAAGUUUCAUGAUAGUCAUCCAACUUUCAUUUUAUUGCAUUUAAGUCAUAAACUAAUAUUUGAAAUGAAAAAGUAACUCAAUUAUGUCUAUAUACAUCACAAAAAUAAUUAUAAAACAAAAGCCAAAAAAUAAGGGAAACACAAGUAGGCUGCCCACUUUUUCAUAUGACACCACUUUAAAAAAAAUAAAAGAAUCGAAUAUUAGGUUGUGUUAGAAAAUAAGUUUCUUUUUCAUUUUUUAAAUAAUAUCAAGUGAAUAUUACAUAUAGUGAGUUGCUGAAAUAGUUAUACUUAACAUGGCUAUUUUGUAAAUACAGCAGCCUAGUGUGUCUUUCGAGACUAAAUUUAGCAUUAAUUUCGGACAUUUUUAUUUUCUGUAACAUAUAAGCAUAAUUGAGUUACUUUUUCAUUACAGAAAAUUAGUUUUUGGAUGCCGUGAAACUACGCCAAAUUUAUAUGCCUCCUAUAUAUAUAUAUAUAUCUUGAUCAAUCCACUCAAUAGUAUUAAAGAACAAGGAAAAACCACUUUCGUAUCUCUUGACACCCUGCUCUUUCAUAAUGGACAGCAGGAGAUGCCAAUGCAAGUACUGCAGCAUGAAAAUGUCAGCUCCCAUUGGAGCACAAACCAUUUCCUGCCCAAGGUGCCAAUCUGUUACACAACUCCAACCUCCAAGAAAUAACAACGGCUUUGCCAAUGGGGUUAUUAACAAUGUUAUGACCGCAGUAAACACAGGGUUUUCAGCUAGGCCAGGAAGGAUGAAUCCAAAUGCCAAUAAUUCUCGGCCUCAACAGUUCAACAUGUCACCACAGAUUAGUAUGCGACCUCCAGCAGUGCAUGGACGAAAACGAGCAGUACUCUGUGGGAUUACCUACCGGGGGCAUUCCAAGAGUCUGAAAGGAAGCAUUAACGACGUUUUAUCCAUGAGAUAUCUUCUGGUUCAGAAGUUGGGUUUUCCCAAUGCAUCUGUACUUGUCCUUACAGGUAUCUCCUACAGUUCAAAAGGGGCAGCCUGGUGCACAAAGGAUCUCGCGUUCAUGCAGGGUCCAAGGAAGGGCCGUACCCCCAAGAAGUGUGAUAUAGACAAUCUAACCUAAUAUUGGUUGCUUUCACGGCUCGAACCCGUGACCUAUAAGUCAUACGGAGACAACUUUACCGUUGCUCCAAGGCUCCUUUUCACCUGAUUCACGUCUAGAAAAUAAAUGUUUAUGUUACUACUCCC
rnacentral:lncRNA from 1 species